AAUUGUAGCUUUUCUCUUUGGAACACAUGCUAGCAACUUUCGUAUUUAAAUUUUCUCCCUCUUUAAACAUGAAGUAUACUAAAAUUCAACCAAAUUCAAAAUGUGUGGUAAUAGACAAAUCAUGUCAUCCGAUAAACACUGAAAUUUUGUCAAUUUAAAUAACUAUUACUCGUGUAAUCAUACGAUAAACAUCAUUUCAAUUUUCAUAUAUAUUAGUCGCCUAUGGAUCUCUAAUAUAAGAAACACAUAGAAUUUUCUACCUAGAAAAUUACUUCCAAAAAGAAAAGGAGAGACCCCCGUUUCCUGUUGCAAAAUUCGGAAAACCCCCAAAAUCAAACUACCCGGCAAACUGGCACCAAAAAUAUGGAGGGGAGUUCCGGCGCCUCUUCCGACGCCGCAAUCGAAACCCUAAGAACCAGAUGAUGGUGCUUCGGCAACCUUGAACAAGUGGAGGAGAAGAUCCUGAUCCACCCCGCCUUGUCCGACGACACGCGUACGGUAGUGAACUCAAUGGAAGCCGAGCUCACCAACAUGAACCUUAAAUCCAUCUCCGCCAGGUCCAUGCCCGACCCGCAUACGCUCCUAAGGUCCUCUCACCUCCUCGGCCCCAAAGUCCUCCAGGUAAAUCACACCUCUCUGUAUUUCUCGUUAAUUUUUCUUGUCGUCUGUUUGGUUGCUGAGAAAAUAGAUAUAGAGAAAGAAAAAUGUGGUCUUUCCUUUGUGUUUCGUUAUCAAUGGCUUGGGUAAGGGACGUUGCUAAAAGCAGUACGGAGGAUUUUUCGAUGAAUUUGAGUCGUCGACGGCUUUUGAUGCCUGACGAUCCCUGACGACGGCCACAGCUGUGGAGUACUCUCAUACCCCGGCAAUCCCUGACGACGUCGUUCCUGGAACUAGGGUCUGUUCGGAAGGUAACGGAAUAGUAUGUUUGAGUCCUAAAGUUGUGACUGUUGGGAGAUGUUGUUCAAUCAAUUUACGAAGAAUGGCAGAAGAACACAAAAUAUUCCGAGUUUUCACAUUCAUCUUUAAGGAUUUCACAGGAAAGUGAUGGUAACGGCCCCCUCCAUUUGAGAAGUUGCAAGUUGGGGCAGCUAAAAGUCGGUUUCCUCGGCAGGACAAGUUUUCACAUCAGUAUUCUUGAGCUAUUGAUUUCAUAAUAUUAGUUUAUGUCUUUUAACGUAAUGUUAAACCACUCAUUAUUGCUAUUGCAUGCAUAUCUCAUGGGCAAGAUGCAAUCAUUGGCAGAUUACUCUGAUGUUAGCUCCAGGAGUAGUGAGCCUAUUGCCAGAAUUACUGAGGUUAGACCAGUUGGAAGACAGUGGAACCUUCAAUUGAAAGCAAAUGACGAGGAUAAAUCUUGUAAAAAAAGUGAGAUAGAUAACACUCGUAAGGUAGAUUCCCUUGAUGAAAGAACUCAAGACUAAAGAAGGUGGAUUUUCAUUCGUGUCCAAAUUGUACCUUGUUUAGGGAUGAAUAGACUUGAGCCCCUAGCUUGAAUUUACCUAUCAAGUCCCAAACCUGAAAAUGAUAGAUUAAACUAGAGACGGAAAGGAGUUGCUUUUAUCUCCAUGAAGUUGUAUUUAUCAUCUAUGCAGUGUUGACUAUUAAGUAUGGUUACGCCGGUAAAAUGAGAACGUGCAUUUGAAUAGAAAACGUUGGGUGCACUUGGAGGGCAAGUAUUUUUGCGAAUUUGAGUGGUAUUUAUCAAGUCAUUAGAUGUGUGUCUUAUAUCGGUUUUUGUAAUGUUGAAAUGUUCCAGGAUGCAAUAUAUCUUCAAAAUUCAAAACAAUUAUUUCCUGCAAAAAUCAUAAAAAUCUGAAAGAAGUAUGAAAUAUUGAGUUGCUGAUGGUGAAGCUGGCAGUGAUCAGUAGUCCAUGAACUCGGAUAUGUGAUGAUGAGGAUGAGCUGAUGAUGACUAUGCAUCACCGGCUUGAUCAUGCCUCACCAUAGAAUCGAUCUAAUAUAGACAGAAGAUGCUCUCACUUCAAAAAUUUUGCCUUUUUCCAAUUCUGUCAUCUGUAGUAAUUCUCAUCAUAGAUCUAAAUCAUGUAUAUUUUCCUUCAUAUGUUUGUCACACACUAAUUAACCCAUGUCCUCUUCAAUGUCUCAGGAAAAUCAAGAGAAGGGGAUUAAUUGAUUAGCCUUUCGCUCUCCCCAAAUGGUAAAGGUCAACAGAGUCAGGCGUCCGACUGAAUGUGGCCUGAGAAAGUGGAUUGAUGAUCAGGAGACAAAGAAAGACAUGCAAAGGAUUUGCAAAGGCCCGCAAGAGGAUCAUCGUCCAUUGAGUUGGAUGUCUGCUCUCUACUGUCACUGACCGCUGGAUCCUGUGGCUGCCGCUGGAGAAGUACCGGGAGAUUAUGAGGAUGUGGUCAAGGUUGAGAGGACGCUGUCGUGAGCGAGGCCGAAUAUGACGGCGUGCAGGGAGAGUCUCAAGAGACAAGGAAAGACGUAAAUGCGCUAGGCCCAGAGGAUCAUGAUCAUGUCCUGUUAUUGGGAGUCGUCGUUUCUUCGUGGUCGUAACAAUCGCUUCACCCAUAGAAUUCCAAAGUUUAGACCUGGAGGAGGAUGAAGAGGAAGCUUCGUGGGCUGUCAUGGCGGUAUCCACCGUUAUGGCACUGCAACGGUUCAGAUUAAGACUGAAAAAUAUGGCAGUGGUUGUGUUUGUGUUGCCAAACCGAUGACACUGAGAUACCUAGACCCAAGUCAAGAUCCUUCAACAAAAACAAAAGUUUAUAAUAUAAUAAUGUUUAGUUAGUGACUUGAGAAGGAAAGAUAUCCUCUCUGAAUCUCUUCUUUCAAAGUUCACGGAUCAAGUGAUCCGUAUCCUUAAAAUUUGAUUAAACGGUAAAAAAUUAUUAUAACUUUUAAAAGUUUUUACUAACUUUUCUGUUUUUUAGCCGUUUGAUCAAAUAGGUUCAGAUCACUUGAUUUGUGGACUUUGGAGGAAAAGAUCCGGAGAGAGGUGUACAGAAAGAGAGAGGAAAAGAGGAAAUUAAGAAAGGAACCCGAAAGAACAAAAGACUAUCCAAAAGAUUAUUGGAAACUCUGAAAGAUGUUUUAUUCACGUUAAGUGAAAGUAGAACUGUAGAGUGGACCAGAUCAAUCUUCAUUUAAAAAUGUUGAAGGUAGAGAGUAGGGCUAGAGUGAUACAGUUUUGGCACAUGACGGGCAGGGCAAGGAAAAAGCGGAUGGAGCAAUGCCAAAGCACUCAUAUGUAAUACAAUUGGUUGAUUUUUUUUUUUUUUUUUUAGUUUUAAGCCAAUUGUAUUGCGAUACUUGUUGUACCAAACUGUGUAUCCGACAAACUAACAAAUCUCUGCACUCCCAUGACCACUAAUUAGUCUCGAAGAAUUCCAUUAUCUUCCUCUUUAUAUAUAUUGUGGUACUUUUUAGUAUGCUAGGAAAGAAACAGUAUAUCUCAAUAAUAACAAGUUAACCUCGCACAAUUUUGCUCCAUUUAACCAUAUAUUAUUGUCAUCAGAGACAACAACUGAUUGGCUUAAAUUGAACAUACUUCAUAAAUAAUUCGACCCUCAACAAAAAAUUUCGAAGGGAUCGAGCAAUCCUACUAGCACGUUAUAAUUCCUCAAUUCAUCAAGGCUAGUUAGCCAGCAUAAAAACAUGAAAAAUAAACUACUAAUUUUUUAUGCAGCAUGUGCAUAAUCAUAACCAUCGUCAUCGUUGUCGUCAUCAUCACCUUCCAUAGAUGCUGCUGGAGCAUAAUCAUAAUUUAAAUCAUCGUUAGCGCCAUCACCUUCUAUGCAAUCUGCAGGGGCAUAAUCGGCAUCAUCCCCAUGCUUCUUGCACCACGAGGCACUUAUCAUCAAUUUUGAAAGGGGAAGCAAAUUGCCAAAAAAACCUCUCUUAUCUCAAUAUUUCCUCGUUAGCGGUUGUUUGAGAGCACUUCUCUAUACGUCAUUAUUAUUAGGAAGAAAUAUAUAUAUAUAUAUAACUAGACGAAUACUCGGUUGUUUGAGAGUGCUUCUCUAUAAAACACUUUUGUUAGUAGCACGUUUACGAAGUAGUUUGUUAUUUGGCAAACAACCCAAUAGGUGCUUUUAUAUUAUAAAGAAGUGACUUUUACAGCAUAAAAGACAUGUUUAAAUAUUGAGUGAAGUGUUUGGUGCAAAAAUUUCUUAGUCUAUGAUGCCUGAUUUAUGUUGUAUGAUGUUCAAAUUUCAACACACAAACUUUAAAACAUACUUUUCAACUUCUUUAGGCUUCCUCAAACUUGUUAGAAUUCCUCUAUCCCGCAUCGGCCAGAAAGCUUGAGAACAAGUCAUUUAAAUAGAAUUACCUCACUUUAACUAAUACCGAGGCCUUUUGCAAUAAAACCCCACAUCUGAUGGAUUGAGCAUGUAGCCAAGUGAAGACAGUAGAUGUGUUGUUAGAGUGGAUCCUUGGGCCUGUCUACCUGAAAUUUAACAAACUUCAACUUUCAAACAUGUUGCAAUCAUAAGGAAAUAAGAUGUCCAAGUCUAAGUCCCAAGCCAUUUUAUGUCUUUCCUUUCUCUUAACAAAAACCAACUUAAAUUUUUUUAUUUAUUUCCUUCCCUUUGUUCAUCUACAAAUGCUAUUUCCGAUAAGAUGAGAUCUUUUAAUUUGUAAAAGUUAUUUAUGUAUCUAAGUUGAGCUCCACAUUAAAUUUAAUGGUAGAUAUAGGUGGGCAUGGAGUUUUAAAAAAGAGAGAAAAUACAAAAAUAAUGUUAAAAUUGGCAGCACUUAUUGAAGCCGCUAUUUCAUAUGACUAAAACAUUUCAGUUAAAGCCAAACUCAAUUGUGUUUUCUAAAAGUUAAUGAUGUCAUUAUAAAUUUGACAUAUCAUUUAAAAACGCUCUUAUCAUGUUUCAGUUUAAGCUCGGUUCUACUCAUUCCAAUAUGCUCUUAGGAAUCCAAAAUCGAGGUCGAAUCAUUUAAAAGACCAUCCAAAUUACAUUCUAAUUAAGAAGCGUGUAUGUAUAAAUAUUCAACAACUCUCACAUCUAAAGAUUUCAUUGCCAAAAAAUUGAGAAACAAUUGAGAAACAAUGAGAGAUUAAGCAUUAAUUAAUCCGCCCUCUGUUUAAUUAGCGAAACAACAAAACACAACAUUUCCUUCAACUCCUCACACGUAAUAAUCCGGCUAGCAGAGACAGAGACAAUGAGAGUAGUUGUUAAAUUUAUUAGCUUGAGCCAUGAGGCAUGCUGAAAGAUGGAAUGCUUUAGUAGUGAUAGGAACUUAAUCUUAGAUUGUUGGCAUGCAUUUAUAAUCUAUUUUUCUCCAUUCUUCUCUCAUUUGUUUGAACUCUAGGAGUUUUGUUACAAGCAAAGGAAUAGUUGGAUAAGAUCGAGAAAUAGCCUCUUGCUAGAUGAAUUCAAGAAAUGCACAACUUAACCUCUUAUAAGUUUUAGACCUAGCCCAUUUCAUCUAAUUUUACGCUAAUCAUGUCGUGUGUGUGGAUUUUUUUUUGACACAUCUGUUUAAUCUAGUAGCUAAUGAGAUCAAAGCUUUGUUGUCUUUAUUCGAGAUUGCUUUUUAAUCAUAUUCACUCUUUGUUCUUUUGCAGUGUGAUCCUAUUUCCAAUAGCGACUUUCUAUAUCAUGUGGUGCAUUGGAAAUGACCCCAAUAGAGCAAUUAGAUAAAUUCAGGCAUCACAG